UACGAAGGGGGCUAGCGUUGUUCGGAUUUACUGGGCGUAAAGCGCACGUAGGCGGAUCGUUAAGUCGGGGGUGAAAUCCUGGAGCUCAACUCCAGAACUGCCUUCGAUACUGGCGAUCUUGAGUCCGGAAGAGGUGAGUGGAACUCCUAGUGUAGAGGUGGAAUUCGUAGAUAUUAGGAAGAACACCAGUGGCGAAGGCGGCUCACUGGUCCGGUACUGACGCUGGGGUGCGAAAGCGUGGGGAGCAAACAGG
rnacentral:rRNA from 1 species